UUUUAGCGGCGGACGGGUGAGUAACGCGUGAGCAAUCUGUCCCAGACAGGGGGAUAACACUUGGAAACAGGUGCUAAUACCGCAUAAGACCACGAGAUCGCAUGGUUUCGAGGUAAAAGGAGGAAUCCGGUUUGGGGUGAGCUCGCGUCCCAUUAGCUAGUUGGUGAGGUAACGGCCCACCAAGGCGACGAUGGGUAGCCGGCCUGAGAGGGUGAACGGCCACAUUGGAACUGAGAGACGGUCCAGACUCCUACGGGAAGCAGCAGUGGGGAAUAUUGGGCAAUGGGCGAAAGCCUGACCCAGCAACGCCGCGUGAAGGAAGAAGGUUUUCGGAUUGUAAACUUCUGUCCUUGGUGACGAAGGAAGUGACGGUAGCCAAGGAGGAAGCCCCGGCUAACUACGUGCCAGCAGCCGCGGUAAUACGUAGGGGGCGAGCGUUGUCCGGAAUGACUGGGCGUAAAGGGCGUGUAGGCGGCCGAUUAAGUAUGGAGUGAAAACCCAGCUUUCAAGGUUGGGCUUGCUUUGUAGACUGGUUAGCUUGAGUGCGGAAGAGGUAAGUGGAAUUCCCAGUGUAGCGGUGAAAUGCGUAGAGAUUGGGAGGAACACCAGUGGCGAAGGCGACUUACUGGGCCGUAACUGACGCUGAGGCGCGAAAGCGUGGGGAGCGAACAGGAUUAGAUACCCUGGUAGUCCACGCUGUAAACGAUGAAUGCCAGGUGUAGGAGGUAUCGACCCCUUCUGUGCCGGAGUAAACACAAUAAGCAUUCCGCCUGGGGAGUACGGCCGCAAGGUUGAAACUCAAAGGAAUUGACGGGGGCCCGCACAAGCAGCGGAGCAUGUUGUUUAAUUCGAAGCAACGCGAAGAACCUUACCAGGUCUUGACAUCGGUGUAAAGCAUCAGAGAUGAUGUGUCUCUUCGGAGGAUACCAGACAGGUGGUGCAUGGUUGUCGUCAGCUCGUGUCGUGAGAUGUUGGGUUAAGUCCCGCAACGAGCGCAACCCUUGUUGCUAGUAGCCAGCGGUACGGCCGGGCACUCUAGUGAGACUGCCGGGGAUAACUCGGAGGAAGGUGGGGAUGACGUCAAAUCAUCAUGCCCCUUAUGACUUGGGCUACACACGUGCUACAGUGGCUACGACAAAGAGAAGCGAAAUGGAGACAUGGAGCAAAGCUCAAAAAAGUAGUCCCAGUUCGGAUUGUAGUCUGCAACUCGACUACAUGAAGCUGGAAUCGCUAGUAAUCGCAGAUCAGCAUGCUGCGGUGAAUACGUUCCCGGGCCUUGCACUCACCGCCCGUCA
rnacentral:rRNA from 1 species